GAUCCUGGCUCAGGAUGAACGCUGGCGGCGUGCUUAACACAUGCAAGUCGAACGAAGCACUUAAGAUUGAUUCUUCGGAUGAUUUCUUUUGUGACUUAGUGGCGGACGGGUGAGUAACGCGUGGGUAACCUGCCUCACACAGGGGGAUAACAGUUAGAAAUGACUGCUAAUACCGCAUAACCCGAUAGGAUCGCAUGAUCCAGACGGAAAAGAUUUAUCGGUGUGAGAUGGACCCGCG
rnacentral:rRNA from 1 species